AUGUUGGACUUUCGAACUAAGCAUCACAACUGCAGCCACAAGUGAGAGCAGCCAGUAAAUCAGCAGGAUACCUGAAGACUGGAUGCCCAUCAUUCUUUCCUCCUGGGGCUAAUGAGGAAUGCUGGAGCCCGUGGGAUUCCUUGGCUUAUUUCCCACAGUAUGAAGAAGACAUUAGAAAAACACAGCGUUACCAGGAUGAAUCCAAGGACCUGGGGCAGAGACGACAAACCACACGUUGGAAUGGACUGAAAUGAUGAUGGAACGAUCUACUGAACUGAAUGCUCCAAGUGGCCUGGGCGCUCGUGGAGGUGGUUCGAGUCCUUUAUGUAGAGGAUAUGAUGGAAAACAAGGCUAGGGGAAAGGAAUUGCCUGAUGCAAAGAGGAAGCUGGUAACGGCUCACAAAUUAUUAUGGGAGUUUAUCAACCUUGAGGAUGGAAAUCAAUGCGUGCCUGGACUGAUCGACUCAUUAGAGCCCUUUCAAAGGUAUUUCUAUAGUGGGCCAUUCAGCAGAUGCUUUCUGAAGUCAAUAAAGGGUCAAAUUUCAAUACCCUUCCCGCAGUGCAGGCGGACUGCAGGCUCCCGCGCAACUCCCAUCAGAUUUACUGUAACUGGCUGAAGACCUCGGCUGUUCUCUACUCCCGUGAAAAAUUG